GAAGAGGGGUAAUGUGUGUGUAGAUAGUGAGUAAUUGAACUGCAGUCAGAGAGCACGAGAGACGUUCGUUGCUAUAGCGUUUGUUUAGCGCGUUUGUUGUGUGUAUCGGUUAAGUUAUAUUCGGAAAGAAUAAACCAGUUUUAUUAAGUAAA